AAUGAACGCUGGCGGCAGGCCUAACACAUGCAAGUCGAACGGACCCUUCGGGGUUAGUGGCGGACGGGUGAGUAACGCGUGGGCACGUGCCCUUUGGUUCGGAAUAGCCUCGGGAAACUGGGAGUAAUACCUGAUAAGCCCUUCGGGGGAAAGAUUUAUCGCCAAAGGAGCAGCCCGCGUUGGAUUAGGUAGUUGGUGGGGUAAUGGCCUACCAAGCCGACGAUCCAUAGCUGGUUUGAGAGGAUGAUCAGCCACACUGGGACUGAGACACGGCCCAGACUCCUACGGGAGGCAGCAGUGGGGAAUCUUAGACAAUGGGGGAAACCCUGAUCUAGCCAUGCCGCGUGAUCGAUGAAGGCCUUAGUGUUGUAAAGAUCUUUCAGCGGGGAAGAUAAUGACGGUACCAACAGAAGAAGCCCCGGCUAACUCCGUGCCAGCCGCCGCAGUAA
rnacentral:rRNA from 1 species